rnacentral:tRNA from 1 species
GGGCGGUUAGCUCAGUUGGCUAGAGCGCCUGCUCGACACGCAGGAGGUCGUAGGUUCGAGCCCUAUACUGCCCA